GCCUAACACAUGCAAGUCGAGCGAAUGAAGUUCCUUCGGGAGUGGAUUUAGCGGCGGACGGGUGAGUAACACGUGGGCAACCUGCCUCAUAGAGGGGAAUAGCCUUCCGAAAGGGAGAUUAAUACCGCAUAAGAUUGUAGUAUCGCAUGAUAACAGCAAUUAAAGGAGCAAUCCGCUAUGAGAUGGGCCCGCGGCGCAUUAGCUAGUUGGUGAGGUAACGGCUCACCAAGGCGACGAUGCGUAGCCGACCUGAGAGGGUGAUCGGCCACAUUGGGACUGAGACACGGCCCAGACUCCUACGGGAGGCAGCAGUGGGGAAUAUUGCACAAUGGGGGAAACCCUGAUGCAGCAACGCCGCGUGAGUGAUGACGGCCUUCGGGUUGUAAAGCUCUGUCUUCAGGGGACGGGGGUGACGGUACCUGAGGAGGAAGCCACGGCUAACUACGUGCCAGCAGCCGCGGUAAUACGUAGGUGGCGAGCGUUGUCCGGAUUUACUGGGCGUAAAGGGAGCGUAGCGGAUUUUUAAGUGAGAUGUGAAAUACUUGGGCUUAACCUGAGUGCUGCAUUUCAAACUGGAAGUCUAGAGUGCAGGAGAGGAGAAGGGAAUUCCUAGUGUAGCGGUGAAAUGCGUA
rnacentral:rRNA from 1 species